rnacentral:lncRNA from 1 species
GGGACAACGUGAAAAUGGGGGAAGGAUAUCUUGGGUGAUCCCAUGGCAGAAGACCACAGCUGGUGAUUCUUUUUGUUCCUCUUCCAUAGAGACCUCCAGGAGUAGGUCUGAAAAUCAUCUCAUGGAAAAGCUAGAAGCGCUGUGUGCCCAGCAGUCCAGGAUGGUGUCUCCACACUGCAGGUGGCCAUCAGCCAAGCUCUCCUCUCAAGAACAUCAAGAGAAUAAGUAUUGGUGGAGAUGUCAGUGCAUCUUGGAGGGUUCUGUGUGAAGGAAGUGGAUUUCCAGACUUUCAGAGGGAACAUCAUCAAUGGUGGCAGCACAGAGGAAACAAU